CAAGGACGAGGAGAUCGCUUGGAUGGAGAAACGUCAACAUCCCAACGCUGACUCCUCUCUCUUCUCUGCUCAUGGAGAUUGUAUUCUGGAUGAAAAACACCCACAAGGCCAGCAGGUCCUUCGAGUUUUUUGACCAACUUCCUGGACUACACCAACAAGUUUGCUUUGCGGUAUUCGCAAUUUAACAAAAAUAAGCUGACAUUACAACACCAUAAACUCCGAAUUUUCUGCA